rnacentral:rRNA from 1 species
UACGUAGGGUGCAAGCGUUAAUCGGAAUUACUGGGCGUAAAGCGUGCGCAGGCGGUCCGCUAAGACCGAUGUGAAAUCCCCGGGCUUAACCUGGGAACUGCAUUGGUGACUGGCGGGCUGGAGUAUGGCAGAGGGGGGGUAGAAUUCCACGUGUAGCAGUGAAAUGCGUAGAGAUGUGGAGGAAUACCGAUGGCGAAGGCAGCCCCCUGGGCCAAUACUGACGCUCAUGCACGAAAGCGUGGGGAGCAAACAGG